AAUCUGAGGUGGCGACCGGCGACACGGGUGAGUAACACGUAUGCAACCUGCCUGUAAGCGGGGAAUAACCCGUUGAAAGACGGACUAAUACCGCAUAAUACUAAAUUACUGCAUGGUAAUUUAUUUAAACAUUUAUGGCUUACAGAUGGGCAUGCGCAUGAUUAGCUAGUUGGAGAGGUAACGGCUCCCCAAGGCAACGAUCAUUAGGGGUUCUGAGAGGAAGGUCCCCCACACUGGUACUGAGACACGGACCAGACUCCUACGGGAGGCAGCAGUGAGGAAUAUUGGUCAAUGGACGAGAGUCUGAACCAGCCAAGUCGCGUGCAGGAAGAAUGUUCCCUAUGGAUUGUAAACUGCUUUUGCAGGGGAAUAAAGUGCAUCACGUGUGAUGUUUUGUAUGUACUCUGCGAAUAAGGAUCGGCUAACUCCGUGCCAGCCGCGGC
rnacentral:rRNA from 1 species